UACGUAGGGGGCAAGCGUUGUCCGGAUUUAUUGGGCGUAAAGAGCGUGUAGGCGGCCAGGUAGGUCCGUUGUGAAAACUCGAGGCUUAACCUCGAGACGUCGAUGGAAACCAUCUGGCUAGAGUCCGGAAGAGGAGAGUGGAAUUCCUGGUGUAGCGGUGAAAUGCGCAGAUAUCAGGAAGAACACCUAUGGCGAAGGCAGCUCUCUGGGACGGUACUGACGCUGAGACGCGAAAGCGUGGGGAGCGAACAGG
rnacentral:rRNA from 1 species